rnacentral:lncRNA from 1 species
UGCUUUUAUCUUUCUCUAUUUUAGAUGAAAUGGACUGUCUGGAACAGAUCAACAAUGAGACACUGGAGACCAGGUCUGCACCACAGGUUGAAGAGAUGGUGGAGGUUUUUAUGGAAGUUGAAGUUUAAAAUGAUGUCUGAAGGCUAAAGAGGUGAAAUUUUACUCGCACAUUUUUGCCACUUUACAGUAGUACAAAGCAUUCAAAAAGAUUUCAUUUAAUAAUCACUGGGUCAGAGUUCUGGUGAAGUGACUGAUGAAGUUACCAUUACCAUUUGAACAAUAUAUUUUACAUCACUGAUAAAAAAAAACAAUCAGACAAAAAUCUCAUUAACAGUUUGUAAAUGUAGGUCUCUCUCCCUGCACAAACAGCAAGCUGAUUGGCUCUUUUUGUUUAAGGGCGGGACUUAACCCAAAAACAGGCACAAUGAUUGGCAUUAUGAGAAAUCCCAUUCAUACAACAGACAGUGACAUGUCUCCUCAAUAAUAUAGACUCUGGUUUUGUUCAUCACAUCUUUUCCUUUUUGUCUGUUUCUGGCCAACUUUUCUAUGACAGUACAUGCACAUGUGGUUUAACAGACCCAAUACUGGAGAGGUAUAAAUUAAAAUUAAUAUUUUAAUCCAGAAAUGAAAUAUGUAAAAUGUUUUUGGACAUAAAUUGUAUACAGUGCCUUUAAUCACAUUAAAUUAGUGUUAGCAAAUUAUUUGAUUUUGUAGUCCCAAUUUAUUCUUAGCAGAAAGAUACUGACCAGUUGUCUUCAUUUUCCUUUUUUCCAUUUUAAACUGUUUCAUUACAGCUUCUAAAUGAGCAAGACCUGCUGCUUCAGCCGUCUGGACACUGGAGAAUUUGUGGCGUUGAACAAAUACCUUUAAUCCAAUACCUAGAGCACUACUCUACAGGAUCCUGAACCAGCCUGCUGGCUUUUUUACAGACUUUUUUUUUUACAUUCUGUGCUUUUUCUUUUUCUAAUUUGUGAAACAGUACAUUACUGUGAACAUAAAUGUGUUUUUGGUUGCUAUCAUGACCAAUACCAAUGCUAACUGUAUGCUAAGUAGUUUUGUAUAAUAGUAAAUGCAUACAACAUGAAAAAUGUCAGU